rnacentral:rRNA from 1 species
GACGAAGGGGGCAAGCGUUGUCCGGAAUUAUUGGGCGUAAAAGGCUCGUAGGCGGUUUGUCGCGUCGGGAGUGAAAAUCCAGGGCUUAACUUUGGACUGGCUUUCGAUACGGGCAGACUAGAGGUAUGCAGGGGAGAACGGAAUUCCUGGUGUAGCGGUGAAAUGCGCAGAUAUCAGGAGGAACACCGGUGGCGAAGGCGGGUCUCUGGGCAACAACUGACGCUGAGGAGCGAAAGCGUGGGGAGCGAACAGG